GAUGAAGAACGUAGCGAAAUGCGAUACGUAAUGUGAAUUGCAGAAUUCAGUGAAUCAUCGAAUCUUUGAACGCACAUUGCGCCCCUUGGUAUUCCGAGGGGCAUGCCUGUUCGAGCGUCAUUAUAACCCCUCAAGCUCAGCUUGGUGUUGGGGCCUGCUGCACUGGCAGCCCUUAAAAUCAGUGGCGGCGCCAUCUGGCUCUAAGCGUAGUAAUUCUUCUCGCUAUGGAGUCCUGGUGGAUGCUUGCCAUCAACCCCCAAUUUUUCUAUGGUUGACCUCGGAUCAGGCAGGGAUACCCGCUGAACUUAAGCAUAUCAAUAAGCGGAGGA
rnacentral:misc_RNA from 1 species